CCUACGGUGCGCAGCAGUGAGGAAUAUUGGUCAAUGGGCGCGAGCCUGAACCAGCCAAGUCGCGUGAGGGAUGACGGUCCUAUGGAUUGUAAACCUCUUUUGUCGGGGAGCAAAAGACGCCACGCGUGGCGUUCCGAGAGUACCCGAAGAAAAAGCAUCGGCUAACCCCGUGCCAGCAGGCGCGGUAAUACGGAGGAUGCGAGCGUUAUCCGGAUUUAUUGGGUUUAAAGGGUGCGCAGGCGGAAGAUUAAGUCAGCGGUAAAAUUGAGGGGCUCAACCCCUUCGAGCCGUUGAAACUGGUUUUCUUGAGUGAGCGAGAAGUAUGCGGAAUGCGUGGUGUAGCGGUGAAAUGCAUAGAUAUCACGCAGAACUCCGAUUGCGAAGGCAGCAUACCGGCGCUCAACUGACGCUCAUGCACGAAAGUGUGGGUAUCGAACAGGAUUAGAUACCCUGGUAGUC
rnacentral:rRNA from 1 species